UAUUGUUUCUUAAACAUUUGACUAUUAUUAAUCACUUUAAAUUGAUGAAAUAUAGAUCAAUUGUAAUUGCAAGAAACUGAAAGUUUAGAUGGCAAAUACGAAUUGCAUUUAAAGUAUGGGUGCUACUGUGCAAACUGUUGAAUGUUAGGCGCUGGUGGUGCAUCUAACCCAAAAGUAAAUGAGCAUGAACUAAAUAUAUAAAUAUAUACACUACCUACAUGUUCCAAAGUGCUUCAU
rnacentral:lncRNA from 1 species